AAGAAAGUAAAUAAGGGCGCAUGGCGGAUGCCUUGGCUCUCGGAGGCGAUGAAGGACGUGAUAAGCUGCGAUAAGCUUCGGGUAGGUGCAAAUAACCUUUGAUCCGAAGAUUUCCGAAUGGGACAACCCGGCAUUCUGAAGGAAUGUCAUCCAACCAAGUUGGAGGCUAACGCAGGGAACUGAAACAUCUUAGUACCUGCAGGAAAAGAAAAUAAAUAAUGAUUCCCCUAGUAGUGGCGAGCGAACGGGGAAUAGCCCAAACCACCCGUGUUACGGCAUGUGUGGGGUUGUAGGACCACGCUCUCGCAAGAAAGUUAUUGAGAAGAAGCGACUGGAAAGUCGCGCCAUAGACGGUGAUAGCCCGGUAUUCUAAGGUAACUGAAGCGUAGUGGUAUCCUGAGUAGCGCGGAGCACGAGGAAUUCUGCGUGAACCAGCCGGGACCAUCCGGUAAGGCUAAAUACUCCCGAGAGACCGAUAGCGAACCAGUACUGUGAAGGAAAGGUGAAAAGCACUUCGAAUAGAAGAGUGAAAUAGUCCCUGAAACCAUGCGCCUACAAGCGGUCGGAGCAGCGUAAGUUGUGACGGCGUGCCUUUUGCAUAAUGAACCUACGAGUUACUUUUUCCGGCAAGGUUAAGCAUCUUGAGAUGUGGAUCCGAAGCGAAAGCGA
rnacentral:rRNA from 1 species